AAAGAAUUAGUUAAAUAUAUAACAUAAAUAUGUCACAUUUAAAUUACUGAGAUUAUUACUCACUACUCUUUU
rnacentral:tRNA from 1 species